CUGUGUGUGGCUGGUGACAGAGUAGCUGCUGAGACACCGUGAUUGUUCAGCCUCAGAGUAAAAGUUCUGACGCAGCCUAA